rnacentral:pre_miRNA from 1 species
UAUUAAAAAUUCCAUCCAUAUUUUUCUGUUAAUUAAGAACUAAUAUUGUUGACAGAAUAACUAAAUAGUUACACGUGGCAUGCCACAUGUAUAUCAUUCUAACAAAGGACCAAUUGUUAACAGUAGAAAUAGAUCGAAUUUUUAACA